GACGAACGCUGGCGGCGUGCUUAACACAUGCAAGUCGAACGGGAACCUUUAUUUCGGUAAAGGUGAGAGUGGCAAACGGGUGAGUAACACGUAGGCAACCUGCCGACAGGAUGGGGACAACAUUCCGAAAGGAAUGCUAAUACCGAAUGGAGUCCGAGGAUGGCAUCAUCCUUGGAUAAAAGAUGGCCUCUUAACAAUGCUAUCGCCUGUCGAUGGGCCUGCGUCUGAUUAGCCAGUUGGCGGGGUAACGGCCCACCAAAGCGAUGAUCAGUAGCCGGUCUGAGAGGAUGAACGGCCACAUUGGGACUGAGACACGGCCCAGACUCCUACGGGAGGCAGCAGUGGGGAAUCUUCCACAAUGGGCGAAAGCCUGAUGGAGCAACGCCGCGUGAGUGAAGAAGGUCUUCGGAUCGUAAAGCUCUGUUGCACGGGACGAAAAC
rnacentral:rRNA from 1 species